CCUACGGGAGGCAGCAGUGAGGAAUAUUGGUCAAUGGACGAGAGUCUGAACCAGCCAAGUCGCGUGAGGGAUGACGGCCCUAUGGGUUGUAAACUUCUUUUGUCUGGGAAUAAAACGUUCCACGUGUGGGUUUUUGUGUGUACCCUAUGAAAAAGCAUCGGCUAACUCCGUGCCAGCAGCCGCGGUAAUACGGAGGAGGCGAGCGUUAUCCGGAUUUAUUGGGUGUAAAGGGCGCGUAGGUGGGAUGUUAAGUCAGUUGUGAAAGUUUGCGGCUCAACCGUAAAAGUGCAGUUGAAACUGGAAGUCUUGAGUACUGUAGAGGUAGGCGGAAUUCGCGGUGUAGCGGUGGAAUGCGUAGAUAUCACGAAGAACUCCGAUUGCGAAGGCAGCCUGCUGGACUUUAACUGACACUGAGGCGCGAAAGCGUGGGGAUCAAACAGGAUUAGAUACCCUAGUAGUC
rnacentral:rRNA from 1 species